CCUCUCUCCUCUCCCUCUGCAGGUUCCCUGGUCCAGGCAGCGCUGACUCAGCCACCCUCGGUGUCAGUGAACCUGGGAGAAACCGCCCAGAUCACCUGCUCCGGGCUUAGCAGCGGCUAUGCUGUUGGCUGGUUCCAGCAGAAGGUCCCUGCAGUGUCCCAGUCACUGUGAUCUACUACAACAACCAGAGACCCUCAGACAUCCCUUCGUGAUUCUCCGGAACCAAGUCUGGCUUCACAAGCACAUUAACCAUCACUGGGGUCCAAGCCGAGGACGAGGCUGUCUAUUACUGUGGUGGCUGGGACAGCAGCAGCAAUGGUGUGUGGUGA